rnacentral:rRNA from 1 species
UUCGGGAAACCGGAGCUAAUGCCGGAUAACAUAUAGAACCGCAUGGUUCUAUAGUGAAAGAUGGUUUUGCUAUCACUUAUAGAUGGACCCGCGCCGUAUUAGCUAGUUGGUAAGGUAAUGGCUUACCAAGGCGACGAUACGUAGCCGACCUGAGAGGGUGAUCGGCCACACUGGAACUGAGACACGGUCCAGACUCCUACGGGAGGCAGCAGUAGGGAAUCUUCCGCAAUGGGCGAAAGCCUGACGGAGCAACGCCGCGUGAGUGAUGAAGGUUUUCGGAUCGUAAAACUCUGUUAUUAGGGAAGAACAAAUGCGUAAGUAACUGUGCGCAUCUUGACGGUACCUAAUCAGAAAGCCACGGCUAACUACGUGCCAGCAGCCGCGGUAAUACGUAGGUGGCAAGCGUUAUCCGGAAUUAUUGGGCGUAAAGCGCGCGUAGGCGGUUUCUUAAGUCUGAUGUGAAAGCCCACGGCUCAACCGUGGAGGGUCAUUGGAAACUGGGAAACUUGAGUGCAGAAGAGGAAAAGUGGAAUUCCAUGUGUAGCGGUGAAAUGCGCAGAGAUAUGGAGGAACACCAGUGGCGAAGGCGACUUUCUGGUCUGUAACUGACGCUGAUGUGCGAAAGCGUGGGGAUCAAACA